rnacentral:tRNA from 1 species
GUUUCUAUAGUGUAGUGGUUAUCACAUUUGCCUAACACACAAAAGGUCUCUUAUUCGAAAUCAGGAAGAAACA